GUCUUUGGUUAUCUAGCUGUAUGAGUGUUAAUCCUCCAUCAUAAAGCUAGAUAACCGAAAGU
rfam:Takifugu rubripes chromosome, Chr_13